AGAUUGAACGCUGGCGGCAUGCCUUACACAUGCAAGUCGAACGGCAGCACGGGAGCAAUCCUGGUGGCGAGUGGCGAACGGGUGAGUAAUACAUCGGAACGUGCCCAAUCGUGGGGGAUAACGCAGCGAAAGCUGUGCUAAUACCGCAUAAGAUCUACGGAUGAAAGCAGGGGGUCGCAAGACCUUGCGCGAAUGGAGCGGCCGAUGGCAGAUUAGGUAGUUGGUGAGGUAAAGGCUCACCAAGCCUUCGAUCUGUAGCUGGUCUGAGAGGACGACCAGCCACACUGGACUGAGACACGGCCCAGACUCCGACGGGAGGCAGCAGUGGGGUAAGUUUUGGAACAAGUGGGACGAAAGCCUAGAUCCAGCCAUCGCCGCGUGCGAAGGAUAGAAGGCCGUUCGGUUACGUUAAACGUGUCGUUUUAGGUAACCGGUAAAGUAAAGU
rnacentral:rRNA from 1 species